UAGGGAAUCUCCCACAAUGGACGCAAGUCUGAUGGAGCAACGCCGCGUGAGUGAAGAAGGUCUUCGGAUCGUAAAACUCUGUUGUUAGAGAAGAACACGAGUGAGAGUAACUGUUCAUUCGAUGACGGUAUCCAACCAGCAAGUCACGGCUAACUACGUGCCA
rnacentral:rRNA from 1 species